CUUGGCUGUCCGGAAGCUCCCACCGUCACGCCCGCACUGCCCUUUAGAUGAGACCUCCGCCGCAAGUCCGGACCCUGAAUCCGCAGGUGCGCAGACACAGAGACCUCUGCAGGCAGUCAUGUUGGAACCCAAGGAGUAGAUGAGAUUUCAGACGUCAGAGAAAUGUCGACGGAAUGGCCACUCAGGUAGUGAAGAUUGUCUUGGCAGCCGCUGUUUUAUGGAGCUAUUAACUCAG